GGAGGAUUAGUCCUAAUUGGUAAGGCAGCGGCCUUGAAAGCCGCCGGCCCUUUGGGGCCAUGGGGGUUCGAGUCCCUCAUCCUCCG
rnacentral:tRNA from 1 species